GGUAGCGUGGCCGAGCGGUCUAAGGCGUUGGUUUCAGGUACCAGUCUUUUCGGAGACGUGGGUUCGAAUCCCACCGCUGCCA
rnacentral:tRNA from 1 species